GACUUUCGAGUCAUCUUACUUUCCAUUUUUCCUAUAAAAAUAAGUUAAUCCAAAUGUAACAACAUAGUUGUUUUGAUAUGUGAAAGUAAAUCACAGAGAAAAAAAAAACAAAAAGUAAAAUGGAUAUUUUAAUGUUAAUAUAAAGAAAGCUUGUUCGGGGUGGAUUUAGUCAUUAUUUAUUUAUCAUGCAUAAUAUAGGUCAUUAAUAUUCUCCUCUACUCAGGUAUUAAUAUUACCAUCAGUUACUCUCAUUCCU
rnacentral:lncRNA from 1 species